AUAUAGAUUAAUUUGAAGGGAUUUCAGAGAGGAAGGGAGAGGCAGAGAGAGAUAGAAACAUCAAUGAUGAGAGAAUCAUAGAUCAGCUACUUCCUGCACGUCCCCUACUGGAGAUGGAGCCCACAACCCAGGCAUGUACCCUGAACAGGGAAUUGAACCAUGACUUCCUGGUUCACAGGUCAACGCUCAACCACUGAGCCACACUGGCUUUGCAAUUCUCAGCCUUUUAGUCCAUAAAUAUGGUAUAUCUUUCUAUUUAUUUAGGACUUCUUUUAUGUUCUUUAAUAAUGUUUUAAAAUUAUCUCUACAUAAUUAUCAGGCAUAAAGUUUCUUAGAUUUAUUCCUGGAGAGUUUAUGAUUCUUGUUGUUAUGAUAUUCUUUAGUAUAUUUUCCAAUUGAUUUAUGCUACAUAGGAAUGCUGUUGUUUUUAAUAUGUGUUUAUUGGUUUCAAAGAGGCAGGAAGAGGGAGAGAGAGACAGAAAUAUCAAUGAUGAGAGAGAAUCAUUGAUCAACUGCCUCUUGCACGCCCCCUACUGGGGAUCAAGCCCACAACCCAGGUAUGUGCCCUGACCUCCUGGUUCAUAGGUCAACUAAGCCACACUGGCCAGGCUACUGUUGUUGUUUUUAAUGUUGAUUAUCUUCAGGAACUUUACUGAAUUCUCUCACUAGAUGUCUGGUUUAGAAAUUUUGGGAUUUUCUAUGUAUACAUUUAUAAUUGCCUACCAAGAAGGACUGUUCUCUAUCUUUUACAAUUCUUUAGCCUCUCCUUUCCUUUCCUUAUCUCUUGGUCAGAAGUACUUAAUUUUAAGUCCUAAUUAUCAGUCUUUUUCUUCAUGGUGAUUGCUUUCUGUUCCUGCUUAAGAAAUUGUUACUUAUUUCCCCUAUGUUAACUUCUAAAAGCUUUAUUGUUUUUCCUUUCAUAUGUAGAUCUACAAGUCAUCUAGAUUGAUUAGUGUGUAUAGUGGGAGAUAGGAGUCAGGAUUUUUUUUCAUAAACAUAUCAAAAUUGAUAUGUUUAUAAUAUUGAGCCUAUCAAUCUAUGAAUAUGGUAUAUCCCUCUACUUAUUUAAUUCUUCUUCAAUUCCUCUAAGUAAUGUUUUGUAGUUUUCUGUGAAGAGUCAUCUACAUCUUUUGAUAGUUUUCCUUUUCUAGAUAUUUGAUUUUUUGCUAUUUAAAUACACUAAAGGCCUGAUGCACGAAAUUCGUACAAGGGGCUUGGCCCCCGCUGCCACAGCAGCCGCUUCUGCCUUGGUCCCCGCCGCAGUGGCUUUGUCCAGAAGGUUGUCUGGAAGGACAUCUGAUCUAAUUAGCAUAUUAAGCUUUUAUUAUGAUAGAUAUAUAGUAUAUGUAUGUAUAUACGUAUGUAUUUAUAGGUAUAUAUAAAUAAAUUUAAAAUUUGUGUUGCCUAAUAUUUAUAUUUCUGGUGUAUGGAAAUACAACUGAUAUUUUUGUAUAUCGAUCUGAUAUCUAGCAGUCUUACUAAAUUUUCUUAUUAUUUGUGAUGGUUUGUCUAUAAAUUCUUUUGUAUUCUAUAUAUGCAAUUAUGUCAUCUGUGGAUGAUGAUAGUUUUGUUUCUUUUUUCCCAAACCUAUAUCUUUUUUCUUUCUGGCCUUAUUAUACUGGCUAAAGCUUUGAGUAGAAUGUUGACUGAAGUGGGAAGUGGUGAUAACAGAUAUUCUUGUCUUGUUUCUGAUUUCAGAAUUAAAACUUCAAUAUUUCUCCAUUAAACAUAUUUGCUAUAUCUUU